GAGUUUGAUCGUGGCUCAGAUUGAACGCUGGCGGCAUGCCUUACACAUGCAAGUCGAACGGCAGCAUGAUCUAGCUUGCUAGAUUGAUGGCGAGUGGCGAACGGGUGAGUAAUACAUCGGAACGUGCCCUGUAGUGGGGGAUAACUAGUCGAAAGAUUAGCUAAUACCGCAUACGACCUGAGGGUGAAAGUGGGGGACCGCAAGGCCUCAUGCUAUAGGAGCGGCCGAUGUCUGAUUAGCUAGUUGGUGGGGUAAAGGCCCACCAAGGCGACGAUCAGUAGCUGGUCUGAGAGGACGAUCAGCCACACUGGGACUGAGACACGGCCCAGACUCCUACGGGAGGCAGCAGUGGGGAAUUUUGGACAAUGGGCGAAAGCCUGAUCCAGCAAUGCCGCGUGUGUGAAG
rnacentral:rRNA from 1 species